UACGGGGGGGGCAAGCGUUGUUCGGAAUUACUGGGCGUAAAGGGCUCGUAGGCGGCCAACUAAGUCGGACGUGAAAUCCCCAGGCUCAACCUGGGAACUGCGUCUGAUACUGGAUGGCUUGAGGUUGGGAGAGGGAUGCGGAAUUCCAGGUGUAGCGGUGAAAUGCGUAGAUAUCUGGAGGAACACCGGUGGCGAAGGCGGCAUCCUGGACCAAUUCUGACGCUGAGGAGCGAAAGCCAGGGGAGCAAACGGG
rnacentral:rRNA from 1 species